GAUAUGCUUUUUCCACGAGGAAAACUUUUCCAUCAUCGGCUGUCAACUCUCGGAAACCAUCGAGCUGAAAACCAACUCUGUCUCCAUGUUCCUCGCCGAUAACGAUCAGCGAUCUUCCCGCGUGAUUUCUACUGUCAAGAGUGAGUAC